CGGAACCCGCCCUAGCACCGCCCGCAAUCUUACGCCGCCGGCUUCGACUCCUUCCAAGAACAAUCUUCCUCGGGGAGAAAGCAACGAAAUGGAAGAAUCCGGACGGUCACAUGGACGGACUCACGACUAACGGGGUUCUGGUGAUGCAUCCUGUGGGUUUCCCGGAGGAGCCCAAGCAGGGUCUGUGGAGAGAGAUCUCCGUGUGUGGAGACGUCUACGCUCUCAGAGAGACACGAUCAGGGCCCGUCCGCGGCCAGCUGGUAAACAGAACUAACUGACCUCUCCAGAUUCAGCGCUUGCUUUGAGACUGAAUAUGAUGACAAGAGUCCGUCUGCAUGAUUCUGCUUCCGUGCAUGAAGUGUUCGACCAGCGCUUUCCUUAAAGAUCCGCAGCUACCUGAAGAAGAGAAAUAACUCGCUUAAAUAAACACUCUGUCUUCAGACUGCGUGAUGUUUCCUGAUUAUAAUGAAUUCAUAAUAAAAUUUUAAUAUAUAAACUAAAGUACAUUUCCAA